rnacentral:rRNA from 1 species
UACGGAGGAUGCGAGCGUUAUCCGGAUUUAUUGGGUUUAAAGGGUGCGUAGGCGGACUGGAAAGUCAGCGGUAAAAUCGAGAGGCUCAACCUCUUUCCGCCGUUGAAACUGUCGGUCUUGAGUGGGCGAGAAGUAUGCGGAAUGCGUGGUGUAGCGGUGAAAUGCAUAGAUAUCACGCAGAACUCCGAUUGCGAAGGCAGCAUACCGGCGCCCAACUGACGCUGAGGCACGAAAGCGUGGGUAUCGAACAG